UACGGGGGGGGCAAGCGUUGUUCGGAAUUACUGGGCGUAAAGGGCUCGUAGGCGGCCAACUAAGUCAGUCGUGAAAUCCCUCGGCUUAACCGGGGAACUGCGUCUGAUACUGGAUGGCUUGAGUUUGGGAGAGGGAUGCGGAAUUCCAGGUGUAGCGGUGAAAUGCGUAGAUAUCUGGAGGAACACCGGUGGCGAAGGCGGCAUCCUGGACCAACACUGACGCUGAGUGAGCGAAAGCCAGGGGAGCAAACGGG
rnacentral:rRNA from 1 species